UUAUAUCAGCAAGGUAUUUUAAGAUGCAAAGAUGAGGUACAAACAUCUUGAGAAGAUGGCUUAUGUAGCUAUGAUCUUGCUUAGAAUUUGAAGCUAUAUUUUCAAGUUCAUAUCAUUAUGAUAAUGACUGACUAACCUCUCAGGCAAGUGCUGCAAAAAUCAAAAAUAUCAUGUCGGCUUGUUAGGUGAGUGGUGAAGUGAAUUUGACAUCCGCUUUCAACCUUGGCCAAUGAUAAAGGCACAAAUGUUAGCGAC
rnacentral:lncRNA from 1 species